UUUCCGUAGGUGAACCUGCGGAAGGAUCAUUACCGAAUUUAAUUCCGGGGUUGUAGCUGGCCUAUAUUUUGGCAUGUGCACGCCUUGGUCUAAUCCAAAUUCAUUUACACCUUUGUGCACCAUUUCAUGGGACCGUCGGGUAUUUCAAGGAUUUCUUUGUUUGCCCAAAUGUUCUAUGUGUUCUUAAUACACUCUUUAGUUCUAGAAUGUUGAUUGCGUUGAACGCAUUUAUAUACAACUUUCAGCAACGGAUCUCUUGGCUCUCGCAUCGAUGAAGAACGCAGC
rnacentral:misc_RNA from 1 species